GCGAGGAUGGCGGAAUGGCAGACGCGACAGUUUGAGGGGCUGUUGGGCGAUGAGCCUGUGAGGGUUCAAAUCCCUCUCCUCGCACCA
rnacentral:tRNA from 2 species